rnacentral:tRNA from 1 species
UCCCGCGUGGCUCAGUUGGUAGAGCAUGGUGUUUGCAAUGCCAGGGUUGUGGGUUUGAUUCCCAUGGGGGAC